rnacentral:rRNA from 1 species
AGUGAACGCUGGCGGCAUGCCUAACACAUGCAAGUCGAACGGAAACACGUCUAGAGCUUCCGACUAAUGGUGGCGGGGGGCGGAAGAGUAAGGAAUGUAUCGCGACCUUGUAGGUCGCGGGGCAAAACGUUUGGUAACACCGCAUACGAUCUAAUAUGUACAACGGGUGACUGCAAGGGCUUUCGCGUUUUUUGCGGCCGCUUGCAGAUGAAGUCGGAUUAGCUAGUUGAGGGGGUAAAGGCUUACCAAGGCGACGAUCCGUAGCUGGUCUGAGAGGAUGAUCAGCCACACUGGAACUGAGACACGGUCCAGACUCCUACGGGAGGCAGCAGUGGGGAAUAUUGGACAAUGGGCGAAAGCCUGAUCCAGCAAUGCCGCGUGAGUGAUGAAGGCCUUCGGGUUGUAAAACGCUUUUGUUAGGAAAGAAAAGCCGCGGGAUAAUACCUGGCGGUCUUGACGGUACCCAAAGAAUAAGCACCGGCUAACUACGUG